GACGAACGCUGGCGGCGUGCUUAACACAUGCAAGUCGAACGGUGAAGCGCCUUCCUUUUUGGUGGGUGUGGAUGAGUGGCGAACGGGUGAGUAACACGUGAGUAACCUGCCCCCUUCUUCUGGAUAACCGCAUGAAAGUGUGGCUAAUACGGGAUAUUCUGGGUCUGUCGCAUGAUGGGUCUGGGAAAGAUAUUGUUUCGGUGGGGGAUGGGCUCGCGGCCUAUCAGCUUGUUGGUGGGGUGAGGGCCUACCAAGGCGGUGACGGGUAGCCAGCCUGAGAGGGUGGACGGUCACACUGGGACUGAGACACGGCCCAGACUCCUACGGGAGGCAGCAGUGGGGAAUAUUGCACAAUGGGCGCAAGCCUGAUGCAGCGACGCCGCGUGAGGGAUGGAGGCCUUCGGGUUGUGAACCUCUUUCGCCAGUGAAGCAGGCCUGCCUCGUUUGUGGGUGGGUUGACGGUAGCUGGAUAAGAAGCGCCGGCUAACUACGUG
rnacentral:rRNA from 1 species